rnacentral:rRNA from 1 species
GUCUACGGCCGUGCCACCCUGAACAAGCCCAAUCCCUGCUGAUCUCAGAAGCUAAGCAGGGUCGGGCCUGGUUAGUACUUGGAUGGGAGGCCACCUAGGAAGAGUAGGUGCUAUAGGCA